GGUUAAGCGACUAAGCGUACACGGUGGAUGCCUAGGCAAUCAGAGGCGAUGAAGGACGUGCUAAUCUGCGAUAAGCGUCGGUAAGGUGAUAUGAACCGUUACAACCGACGAUUUCCGAAUGGGGAAACCCAGUGCAAUUCGUUGCACUAUCGUUUGAUGAAUACAUAGUCAAACGAAGCGAACCGGGGGAACUGAAACAUCUCAGUACCCCGAGGAAAAGAAAUCAACCGAGAUUCCCCUAGUAGCGGCGAGCGAACGGGGAGCAGCCCAGAGUCUUAAUCAGCAUUAGCAUCAGGAGAACGGUCUGGAAAGUCCGGCAGUAAAGGGUGAUAGCCCCGUAUCCGAAGGUGUUAGUGUUGUGAACUCGACGAGUAGGGCGGGACACGUGUUAUCCUGUCUGAAUAUGGGGGGACCAUCCUCCAAGGCUAAAUACUCCUGAUUGACCGAUAGUGAACCAGUACCGUGAGGGAAAGGCGAAAAGAACCCCGGCGAGGGGAGUGAAAUAGAACCUGAAACCGUGUACGUACAAGCAGUGGGAGCCUUGAUUUAUCAGGGUGACUGCGUACCUUUUGUAUAAUGGGUCAGCGACUUAUAUUCUGUAGCAAGGUUAACCGUAUAGGGGAGCCGUAGGGAAACCGAGUCUUAACUGGGCGAAUAAGUUGCAGGGUAUAGACCCGAAACCCGGUGAUCUAGCCAUGGGCAGGUUGAAGGUUGGGUAACACUAACUGGAGGACCGAACCGACUAAUGUUGAAAAAUUAGCGGAUGACUUGUGGCUGGGGGUGAAAGGCCAAUCAAACCGGGAGAUAGCUGGUUCUCCCCGAAAGCUAUUUAGGUAGCGCCUCGUGAACUCAUCUUCGGGGGUAGAGCACUGUUUCGACUAGGGGGUCAUCCCGACUUACCAACUCGAUGCAAACUACGAAUACCGAAGAAUGUUAUCACGGGAGACACACGGCGGGUGCUAACGUUCGUCGUGAAGAGGGAAACAACCCAGACCGCCAGCUAAGGUCCCAAAGUCAUAGUUAAGUGGGAAACGAAGUGGGAAGGCUCAGACAGCCAGGAUGUUGGCUUAGAAGCAGCCAUCAUUUAAAGAAAGCGUAAUAGCUCACUGGUCGAGUCGGCCUGCGCGGAAGAUGUAACGGGGCUAAACUAUGCACCGAAGCUGCGGCAGCGAUAUGUAAAUAUUGUUGGGUAGGGGAGCGUUCUGUAAGCCUGUGAAGGUGUACUGUGAGGUAUGCUGGAGGUAUCAGAAGUGCGAAUGCUGACAUAAGUAACGAUAAUGCGGGUGAAAAACCCGCACGCCGGAAGACCAAGGGUUCCUCUCCAACGUUAAUCGGGGCAGGGUGAGUCGACCCCUAAGGCGAGGCAGAAAUGCGUAGUCGAUGGGAAACGGGUUAAUAUUCCCGUACUGGUGAUAAUUGCGAUGGGGGGACGGAGAAGGCUAGGCUAUCCGGGCGACGGUUGUCCCGGUUUAAGAAUGUAGGCAGGUGAAUUAGGCAAAUCCGGUUCACUAUAUGCUGAGGUUCGAUGACGAGUCACUACGGUGAUGAAGUAGCUCAUGCCCCGCUUCCAGGAAAAGCCUCUAAGCUCUAGAUUAUCAUUAAUCGUACCCCAAACCGACACAGGUGGUCAGGUAGAGAAUACUCAGGCGCUUGAGAGAACUCGGGUGAAGGAACUAGGCAAAAUGGUGCCGUAACUUCGGGAGAAGGCACGCUGGCAUUAGGUGAAGUCCCUUGCGGAUGGAGCUGAAGCCAGUCGCAGAUACCAGCUGGCUGCAACUGUUUAUUAAAAACACAGCACUGUGCAAACACGAAAGUGGACGUAUACGGUGUGACGCCUGCCCGGUGCUGGAAGGUUAAUUGAUGGGGUUAUCCGUAAGGAGAAGCUCUUGAUCGAAGCCCCAGUAAACGGCGGCCGUAACUAUAACGGUCCUAAGGUAGCGAAAUUCCUUGUCGGGUAAGUUCCGACCUGCACGAAUGGCGUAAUGAUGGCCAGGCUGUCUCCACCCGAGACUCAGUGAAAUUGAACUCGCUGUGAAGAUGCAGUGUACCCGCGGCAAGACGGAAAGACCCCGUGAACCUUUACUAUAGCUUGACACUGAACAUUGAGCCUUGAUGUGUAGGAUAGGUGGGAGGCUUUGAAGCGUGGACGCCAGUCUGCGUGGAGCCAACCUUGAAAUACCACCCUUUAAUGUUUGAUGUUCUAACGUUGCCCCAUUAUCUGGGGUGCGGACAGUGUCUGGUGGGUAGUUUGACUGGGGCGGUCUCCUCCCAAAGAGUAACGGAGGAGCACGAAGGUUGGCUAAGCAUGGUCGGACAUCAUGCGGUUAGUGCAAAGGCAUAAGCCAGCUUGACUGCGAGAGUGACGGCUCGAGCAGGUACGAAAGUAGGUCUUAGUGAUCCGGUGGUUCUGAAUGGAAGGGCCAUCGCUCAACGGAUAAAAGGUACUCCGGGGAUAACAGGCUGAUACCGCCCAAGAGUUCAUAUCGACGGCGGUGUUUGGCACCUCGAUGUCGGCUCAUCACAUCCUGGGGCUGAAGUAGGUCCCAAGGGUACGGCUGUUCGCCGUUUAAAGUGGUACGCGAGCUGGGUUUAGAACGUCGUGAGACAGUUCGGUCCCUAUCUGCCGUGGGCGUUGGAAGAUUGAAAGGGGCUGCUCCUAGUACGAGAGGACCGGAGUGGACGCACCACUGGUGUUCGGGUUGUCAUGCCAAUGGCAUUGCCCGGUAGCUAAGUGCGGAAGAGAUAACCGCUGAAAGCAUCUAAGCGGGAAACUUGCCUUGAGAUGAGUCUUCCCUGACUCUUUAAGAGUCCUAAAGGAACGUUUAAGACUAAGACGUUGAUAGGUUGGGUGUGUAAGCGUAGCGAUACGUUGAGCUAACCAAUACUAAUGAACCGUGAGGCUUAACCUG
rnacentral:rRNA from 1 species